UGCAGUCGAGCGCACUCUUCGGAGUGAGCGGCGGACGGGUUAGUAACGCGUGGGAACGUACCCAGAUCUAAGGAAUAGCCACUGGAAACGGUGAGUAAUACCUUAUACGCCCUUCGGGGGAAAGAUUUAUCGGAUUUGGAUCGGCCCGCGUUAGAUUAGAUAGUUGGUGGGGUAACGGCCUACCAAGUCUACGAUCUAUAGCUGGUUUUAGAGGAUGAUCAGCAACACUGGGACUGAGACACGGCCCAGACUCCUACGGGAGGCAGCAGUGGGGAAUCUUGGACAAUGGGCGCAAGCCUGAUCCAGCCAUGCCGCGUGAGUGAUGAAGGCCUUAGGGUCGUAAAGCUCUUUCGCCAGGGAUGAUAAUGACAGUACCUGGUAAAGAAACCCCGGCUAACUCCGUGCCAGCAGCCGCGGUAAUACGGAGGGGGUUAGCGUUGUUCGGAAUUACUGGGCGUAAAGCGCGCGUAGGCGGGUUGUUAAGUUAGAGGUGAAAUCCCGGGGCUCAACCCCGGAACUGCCUUUAAUACUGGCAACCUAGAGUUCGAGAGAGGUGAGUGGAAUUCCGAGUGUAGAGGUGAAAUUCGUAGAUAUUCGGAGGAACACCAGUGGCGAAGGCGGCUCACUGGCUCGAUACUGACGCUGAGGUGCGAAAGUGUGGGGAGCAAACAGGAUUAGAUACCCUGGUAGUCCACACCGUAAACGAUGAAUGCCAGUCGUCGGGUA
rnacentral:rRNA from 1 species